rnacentral:rRNA from 1 species
UGGGGAAUUUUGGACAAUGGGGCGAAAGCCUGAUCCAGCAAUGCCGCGUGUGUGAAGAAGGCCUUCGGGUUGUAAAGCACUUUUGUCCGGAAAGAAAUCCUUGGCUCUAAUACAGUCGGGGGAUGACGGUACCGGAAGAAUAAGCACCGGCUAACUACGUGCCAGCAGCCGCGGUAAUACGUAGGGUGCAAGCGUUAAUCGGAAUUACUGGGCGUAAAGCGUGCGCAGGCGGUUUGCUAAGACCGAUGUGAAAUCCCCGGGCUCAACCUGGGAACUGCAUUGGUGACUGGCAGGCUAGAGUAUGGCAGAGGGGGGUAGAAUUCCACGUGUAGCAGUGAAAUGCGUAGAGAUGUGGAGGAAUACCGAUGGCGAAGGCAGCCCCCUGGGGCCAAUACUGACGCUCAUGCACGAAAGCGUGGGGAGCAAACAGGAUUAGAUACCCUGGUAGUCCACGCCCUAAACGAUGUCAACUAGUUGUUGGGGAUUCAUUUCCUUAGUAACGUAGCUAACGCGUGAAGUUGACCGCCUGGGGAGUACGGUCGCAAGAUU